GGUUGCAAUAGAUGCACUUUCCAUGGAGGCGUACACUUCACCUAGAAAUAUGUUCAAGGUCAAGCUGCAGAGUACAUGAGAAAGAAGACUUUGAACCUUAAACAAUCUUUAUUUUCUGAAGAAGCAGAGAGUACAGCAAGCAUGUGCUUCAGAGAUGGGAUCAAACAGCAGAACAUACGUAACUUGUUACGUCUCAAAUAUCAGUAGCAAAUUUUCUGAGACUCCAAACUUCAGUUGAUGUUUGUCAGGUUCUACCAACUUCUCUUAUACUUACACUUUAUGUAUGGUUGUGGAUUUAAAGACUGGUAUAGACAUUAGAUGCUUUAAAUUUUGUUUAUAUGAUCUGGAGUAGGAAGCCUUAUUAUCCUAUUCUGGUUUGAAAACAGAAAUGGUGAACACUCGAGUUUGUCUUGCUGAUAAACAUUCUCAUAUAACCACUUUCCAUUUCCAAAGGAGUCAUAGUUUCUGUUUGUGUAGGAUAUUUUUCAUUGGGAACCUAUUGGUGAACUUUGGUUGAGCAGUUGGUCUGUUCAGAUUUGCAGACCUUCAACAUUCAAACUUUCCAUUGGUUUCAGGUUUGUUGUAAGUGCUUGUUACUUGUAUUCAAGUUACAUUAUUUAGAAUAUAUGAUAAUGCAAUUUUCAAGAAUUUCCACUUCACCCUAGUGCAUUUGGUGUGUGCAUUGGACAUCUAUGGAUUGUUCUUCUCUUAUGUAGUGAUAAAUGUUUGUUUUACCUUAGCUUAUAGUCUUGUUCUGUGAACAAAGAAUAACUUUACUUUACAAGGUUCUAACUUCUAAACCUGGUUUUUCGUUUUCGUAACUUUCCAGAGCAUAGGAGGUGAAAAACGGAGACUUGAAAAUUCUUGUCAUUUUUCCCUUUUGAUGUAAGACCAAGCAUUUUGUUAGAGUGAUUAGUCAUCAGUGAAAGGGAGAGUAGAUUAAGCGUGAGGGAGAACAAAUAGUGGUCUUCUUCAAUGGUGGAUGUCUUCGUCUUCAGUAACUCAGUCCCACAUCGGUGCUCUAUUCGUGAGCUAAUUUUUGGUUUCAUUUAUUUUGAUGUGUUCCAGAAAACAGUCCCACAUCGGAAGAUUUAUCAAACAAUAACAAAUUUAUAUAGUUAGUUCAUCUACUAUUAAUUAAUUGUUUGAAAGGAGCUGCUUCAAAAAUAUUAAAUUAUAGCUACUUCAAGUUCAAUACUAUUAAAAUUUUAAAAAAAAAAAUUUUUUUUUAAACAGCGACUUAAGGGGUUGACUGGUCCACUCCUUAAGUCGCUGUUAGUAACAGCGACUUAGGGCCUUUUAAUUUUUUUUUUUUUCUCUUAAUUCGCUGUUACUAACAGCGACUUACCCGAGGCUAGGCUUGGAUGUACGGAAGCUUAUUUUGGGACAUAAGUUUUCUCGAAUCUUAUAUUCGGAAUUAAAUUGUUUAUUUAUCUUAUUUUUUUCAAUCUUUCACAUGUUGGCAUGUUGGGGCAUUGGGCUAUGCAAUACGUACAAUUUAGUUUUCAUGGCGCAACUCAGCCCAAAAUGAAUUUAUUUGAAAAUGUCUUAGUAAAUAAUGGUAAUUUGUAAAGUUAACAAAUUAAUUUUAUGGUUUUAUGUGGUAGAAUUUAAUAGAAUGAGAGUUUUAUGAUUUUAAUUUAUCUUUUUUUUAUUUUUUAUUUUAAUAUUAUUUUUUUGUCUUUUUAUGAUUAUUUAUAAAUUACGAUAAAUGAUUAAAAAUUAUUGCUUUAUAUGUUGCUCAUUUAGGUCCGAUAAAUAAGGUACUAUUUGCUUCCACCUUAAUUUUGAGUUAAAGUUGGUGGGGUGAUAUAAUUGUGGACUUGGGAUUAGAAUUAUUGUUUGCUCACUAAUUUUAAAUCACAAAUUUUUGUAUUAAACAGUUUCAUUGUAAGACGUGCUAUAUACAUAGAUUGAAUAGUUUAAUUAAUACAAAUUAUUAGCAUGAUGGACACUUUAUUUUGAAAUCGUCUUAUUGAAAGAC